GACGAACGCUGGCGGCGUGCUUAACACAUGCAAGUCGAACGGAAAGGCCCUGCUUUUGUGGGGUGCUCGAGUGGCGAACGGGUGAGUAACACGUGAGUAACCUGCCCUUGACUUUGGGAUAACUUCAGGAAACUGGGGCUAAUACCGGAUAGGAGCUCCUGCUGCAUGGUGGGGGUUGGAAAGUUUCGGCGGUUGGGGAUGGACUCGCGGCUUAUCAGCUUGUUGGUGGGGUAGUGGCUUACCAAGGCUUUGACGGGUAGCCGGCCUGAGAGGGUGACCGGCCACAUUGGGACUGAGAUACGGCCCAGACUCCUACGGGAGGCAGCAGUGGGGAAUAUUGCACGAUGGGCGGAAGCCUGAUGCAGCAACGCCGCGUGCGGGAUGACGGCCUUCGGGUUGUAAACCGCUUUCGACUGUGACGAAGCGUGAGUGACGGUAAUGGGUAAAGAAGCACCGGCUAACUACGUG
rnacentral:rRNA from 1 species